ACACUUGCAUUAUUUAAUAUAUUUUAAAGUGUUGCUCAUCAAAAUUUAAAAUUUAUAAGUACCUUAAAUGCUAACACUACAUCCUAAGAUUUUCAAGAGUUGAGAUUAUAUAUAUAAACAAAGCAAAGGUUUGAGCUGAUCAUGCGAAUGAAAGAGCACCUGCGCUUCGUGGAAGAAAAGCAAAUAAAACAGGAAAGCACGAAUGCUAUGGCAAGGGGCUCCAAAGGCAGGUUGACAGCGCCUUGCCAUUCCCACCAGAGAUAAAGAAAUGCCCAACUCUACGGUCAUUGGAAAUGAGAGAGCCACUCACCUACCCAAUUUUGAUACUUAAUUAGAUCUGGUAGGUUUUGAUGUUUCGCAACUGGAAUAAGAGAUAUCUUUGGCACAACAGUUGGUAAAUUCAGCCUCUACGAUGAAGAAUUAACAAGUGUUUUGAGCCUGAUCGACUUAACCGGGGCCUGAUAUACUAUAUACUAAAUUCCAACAUAGAACAAUUCACCAAGCUACAUGGCUGUCUCCGGAUCGAAAAGCAUUCAACCAGAUCGAUCAUGUCGUGAUAGAGUGACAGACCGAAGAUACGUGUCCAGUGUUUUAGACGUGCGCACGGUCCGAGGACCUAACAUCGACUCCGACCACUAACUUGUUGCAGCCAAGAUACGCACCCUACUCUGUGCAGCAAAAAACGCACGUCAACAAACACAAGGAAGGUUCGACGUCGGAGCUAUUCAAACAAGUGGAACUGCAUCAGCUUCUUUGUAAAAUACUCUGCUUCUCAGCAUGCCCAACUUGCACACGAUGAACCUUCUCUAUAAAUCUACAUUCUCUGUAUUUACUAAGCAAAACUGUAGUUAGAAUUGUAUCUGUUACACAAUGCUUCAGCCCUUAUAUUGUAGAUAGCUACCAAAACAUCGCUUCUCGAAAAUUCUUGUAACUGUCUAUUAAUUCUAGCAAAUUUAUUUCCGAUUAUAUUUUUUCUGGCAUUUGUGUUCGCCACAAUACCUAACCCCGCAUCUCGACGCAUCCAAAAAUAUAUGUUGCUUUUGUUAUUAUUCACGCUAUUACUCGCCCUUUAUCGCUUAUAAAUCAGUAAUACUUUUUUUGAAUUUACGCUCGUACGUCGGUUUAAAAUGAGCAUAUUCUGAUUCUUCAUCAUAUGUAAUCAUUAUUGGAACUAGUUACAAAAUCCUUGCUGUAUAAUAUAAUAGUAACUCUUAAUACUUUCAUAAUGGUUUUUCUAUCCUUUGAUUUAUAGCGUUACGGGUUAAAUGGCUCAAGAGAAUUGCGCACAAGCGAAUUCAUAAGUAUUGUGAACUCAAAACCAAACACUUGGGAAUAUUUCGCAAACCUUGCAUCAAGAAAACAUUUGAUUCAUUUUGGCCUAAAACUCAAGUGGAUCCGUUCAGUUAUUUAAAGUUAAUUUGAUUUUUAUUUAUUAUAACGUUUAAUAAAGAUACAUUUUUACAUUAAA